AUGGCUGACGAGCCCGAGCCACAGCUGGUGACGCCCCUGGUAUUUGAAGCAACCAGACCGUUGUGCGCACCUCUGCAGCAAGGUCUCGAUGACGUUCCUGUUCUGCCAUUCAACGUAGCAGCGGUGGAUCUACUGGAUGCUUAUGAGGAAGCUUUUAAAUCUAUGACCCGACGAGCCAGAGACAUAGCACCCGCCCUCUACUGCAACAAGCCUAUAACUCCCCUUCCUAACCCACACAAUCGGCCAAGACAAACUUCUUCUGCUGCUUCUUCUUCCACCUCAAGAAAGAAAGAUAAAGCAAAGAAAACAAAGCAAUCGGAGGAGGAGCUUGAUGAUUAUGAAGAUGUGAAGAAAUGGGGUCACAGCCACUUCAUCAUAGAGAUGUAUUACGAGCAUGAGGCCACGGGUUACAACUACGAUGGAAUGAUGGUUCAACUUCUCAUAUGUGACUACAAUGGCUACCUGGUUGGUAUCAGAAGAGUUGCAUGUGAUCAAUGGUCCAAGUGGUACUAUUGCAGUGAUGACUUUUCCCUUCCAUUCUUUCUCAAAGAUGGCGCAGAGAAGCUCCCAAUAGAAGGUGAUCAUAAGAAAAGGGCGCUUCUUGGUGGGUUCUCCACUUUCCUCCACAUCUUCGAGAAACUUGGCUACUACCCUGAUAAUGGAGACAACGUGGAAAUGGAGAAGGCAUUCCUAGCAGCUGUGUUGGUAUUUUGCGAGGCAAGGCGGUUCGUGUGGAUAUUCAUGUAA
rnacentral:rRNA from 1 species